rnacentral:rRNA from 1 species
GACGAACGCUGGCGGCGUGCUUAACACAUGCAAGUCGAACGGAAAGGCCCUGCUUUUGUGGGGUGCUCGAGUGGCGAACGGGUGAGUAACACGUGAGUAACCUGCCCUUGACUUUGGGAUAACUUCAGGAAACUGGGGCUAAUACCGGAUAGGAGCUCCUGCUGCAUGGUGGGGGUUGGAAAGUUUCGGCGGUUGGGGAUGGACUCGCGGCUUAUCAGCUUGUUGGUGGGGUAGUGGCUUACCAAGGCUUUGACGGGUAGCUGGCCUGAGAGGGUGACCGGCCACAUUGGGACUGAGAUACGGCCCAGACUCCUACGGGAGGCAGCAGUGGGGAAUAUUGCACAAUGGGCGGAAGCCUGAUGCAGCAACGCCGCGUGCGGGAUGACGGCCUUCGGGUUGUAAACCGCUUUCGCCUGUGACGAAGCGUGAGUGACGGUAAUGGGUAAAGAAGCACCGGCUAACUACGUGCCAGCAGCCGCGGU